AACGAACGCUGGCGGCAGGCUUAACACAUGCAAGUCGAACGCCCCGCAAGGGGAGUGGCAGACGGGUGAGUAACGCGUGGGAAUCUACCCAGAUCUUCGGAACAACUGAGGGAAACUUCAGCUAAUACCGGAUACGCCCUACGGGGGAAAGAUUUAUCGGUUCUGGAUGAGCCCGCGUUGGAUUAGCUAGUUGGUGGGGUAAUGGCCUACCAAGGCGACGAUCCAUAGCUGGUCUGAGAGGAUGAUCAGCCACACUGGGACUGAGACACGGCCCAGACUCCUACGGGAGGCAGCAGUGGGGAAUAUUGGACAAUGGGCGAAAGCCUGAUCCAGCCAUGCCGCGUGAGUGAUGAAGGCCUUAGGGUUGUAAAGCUCUUUCAGUGGGGAAGAUAAUGACGGUACCCACAGAAGAGGCCCCGGCUAACUUCGUGCCAGCCGCCGCGGUAAAAC
rnacentral:rRNA from 1 species